GACGAACGCUGGCGGCGUGCUUAACACAUGCAGGUCGAACGGAAAGGCCCUGCUUUUGUGGGGUGCUCGAGUGGCGAACGGGUGAGUAACACGUGAGUAACCUGCCCUUGACUUUGGGAUAACUUCAGGAAACUGGGGCUAAUACCGGAUAGGAGCUCCUGCUGCAUGGUGGGGGUUGGAAAGUUUCGGCGGUUGGGGAUGGACUCGCGGCUUAUCAGCUUAUUGGUGGGGUAGUGGCUUACCAAGGCUUUGACGGGUAGCCGGCCUGAGAGGGUGACCGGCCACAUUGGGACUGAGAUACGGCCCAGACUCCUACGGGAGGCAGCAGUGGGGAAUAUUGCACAAUGGGCGGAAGCCUGAUGCAGCAACGCCGCGUGCGGGAUGACGGCCUUCGGGUUGUAAACCGCUUUCGCCUGUGACGAAGCGUGAGUGACGGUAAUGGGUAAAGAAGCACCGGCUAACUACGUG
rnacentral:rRNA from 1 species